GCAGUGGUGGCUCAGUGGUUACGGCAUUUAGUUAUAGAUCGGAAGGUCAUGAGUUCAAAUCCCAGCACCACUGAG